UGCGUAGGGAGCAAGCGUUGUCCGGAAUCAUUGGGCGUAAAGCGCGCGUAGGUGGCUUCGUAAGUCCGUUGUGAAAGUCAAAGGCUCAACCUUUGAAAGCCGAUGGAUACUGCGGAGCUAGAGUACGGAAGAGGCGAGUGGAAUUCCUGGUGUAGCGGUGGAAUGCGCAGAUAUCAGGAGGAACACCAAUAGCGAAGGCAGCUCGCUGGGACGUUACUGACACUGAGGCGCGAAAGCGUGGGGAGCGAACAGG
rnacentral:rRNA from 1 species